ACCUGCCCUGCAGACUGGGAUAACUCCGGGAAACCGGAGCUAAUACCGGGUAAUACAUCGCACCGCAUGGUGCAAUGUUGAAAGUUGGCUUUCGAGCUAACACUGCAGGAUGGGCCCGCGGCGCAUUAGCUAGUUGGUAAGGUAAUGGCUUACCAAGGCGACGAUGCGUAACCGACCUGAGAGGGUGAUCGGCCACACUGGGACUGAAACACGGCCCAGACUCCUACGGGAGGCAGCAGUAGGGAAUCUUCCGCAAUGGACGAAAGUCUGACGGAACAACGCCGCGUGAGUGACGAAGGCCUUCGGGUCGUAAAGCUCUGUUGUUAGGGAAGAACAAGUACCGUUCGAAUAGGGCGGUACCUUGACGGUACCUAACCAGAAAGCCACUGCUAACUACGUGCCAGCAGCCGCGGUAAUACGUAUGUGGCAAGCGUUGUCCGGAAUUAUUGGGCGUAAAGCGCGCGCAGGCGGUCUUUUAAGUCUGAUGUGAAAGCCCACGGCUCAACCGUGGAGGGUCAUU
rnacentral:rRNA from 2 species